AUUGAAAACCCUAAUCCCAAUUGAUACACUAUAAAAUGCAUCUUAAGCCUCAAUUGGUUCCAUUGUUGCAGCAAGAAAGGAGAAAGGCAAAUCUGAGGAUUUGCUUAUUGAACUCUAUGUUCUAUAAUACAUUAGUUUCUUGAAGAGGCAAAGAAAAAAUGAUGAGACUCUUAAUGGCCGAAUUUCAUGUGGAAUUUCAUAUCAUAUGGUCUUUAAAGUUCUGAUUAAUUGCCUCUCAUUUCAAUGUUUCCCAAGAAUUGAUUUCCAAUGUUGUCAUUUUGUAUUGCUGUACAGUUUUAUUUAUAUCAGGCCAGUGUAGUAGCUAUAAAGGAAUCUAGAUUUGUUAUUGUUUAUCUCACAAAUUAAUCACGAUGGUGAUUUGCUUUUUGUUUUGUAAAUCUUAAAUGAGGCUCGAUAUAUGAUCUGUUGAUAGAUGAUUUGCGGUGAUUGUGCGCUUCUGCGAGUAUUCCCGUUGGCUACGCUAUGCAAACGUCGUUUUAGGGCUAUUUAUGAUUGCUGGUAGCCAGGCUCUUUGAGUGAUUUUAAUAGCAUUUGCUUUUACGGUCCUCUUUUAUUCUGGCUAUAUUCUUGAGUGUAUUGUGGAAAAGAAUCAUUCUGAUUCUUAUGGUUUGUUGCUGGAGGAAUGUUUAGCAUGCUUCUAAUUUAUCCAAGGUUAUCUUGCUAAUGUAGGAACUGUGCGCACCAAAAUUCUUAGCCUGUUAUGUUUAUAAAUUUCUGGCUAUACGAGCAUGGUGCGAUAUCAACAUCUUUUGUAGUUUUGUUGAACGAAGAUUGACUAGUUGAGCAAAAACUUGAAAGAACAAAUGUGCCUCUUCAUGUUAUUAUUAUAUAUGCAUUUAAGUUUGUUACGGUUUGUUUUGAAGUGGAGUUACAUAGUUUAUAGUAUGGACCCGUUCUCAUGUCGUCCUUUGUAGUUGGAUAUAACUGUUGUAUACUUGUAUUUUUAUUCUUUUGUUUGGUGGGAAAACUUAAUACGCCUGUGCCUUCUCUUGGA